GAAUACCGAUAACGCAAGGGUUAGAGGCGAAAUUCAUUUACAACAGAAUCCACAAUUCACCCUCCUGCAGCUCGUAGCCGUCCGAUCAGAUGACGGAGUCACCGUCGGAUAGGCGGUGUAAGCGCACCGCCGGCCCAAAUUGGCGGUGCAGCGGGGUGGCGUCGCUGGGAAAAUCGUUCUGCGAGAAACACUUGCAGCAGCGUGCGCUUCAAGACCAGAAACGCAGAAUUAAGAGGAACGAAGGGAACGAAUCAGAGCGCAGGUCCAACAAGACCAAGAGGAGGCUGUCGACCGCGGAUGACGUCAGUGCCGGAUCCGAAUUGGAAGUUUCCGUGUCCGAAUUGAUUGAAAACUCCGUCAGAAAGAAAAAAAAGAACGAGACGAAGAAGAAGAAACCACUUGAUCAAGAGAGUGUAAAUGAGUGUGAUAUUCACGAGGACUCUGACAGGGGAAUGAUGAGCGUGAACGGUGUCAAGAAGGGUUCAGGAGUUGAAGAUAAGAAACAAAUGGGUAGCAAAAGCAACGAGGGUGGAAGUUUGAUGUGUCAUCAGUGCCAGAGGAAUGAUAAGAGUGGAGUUGUCUUUUGCUCAAAGUGCAACAGAAAACGCUACUGUUAUGAAUGCCUUGAGCGGUGGUACCCAGGUAAAACCCUGAAGGAAGUUGAGGAAGCAUGUCCAUUCUGUUUAGGCAAUUGCAAUUGCAAAGCCUGCUUGCGGGAGGUUCCGGUGCUUAUGGACCGAGAGGUAAAUUCCAGUGUCAAAUUAAAUCGACUGCGCUACUUACUCUAUAAAGCCUUGCCUGUUCUGAGGCAUAUUCACAGGGAGCAAAGCUUAGAACUAGAGAUUGAAUCUAAAAUAAGAGGUGAGCAACUGCAAGAAAAAGGCAUAGCAAGAACAGAGCUAGACAAACGUGAGCGCUUAUACUGUGACAAUUGCAAUACAUCUAUAAUUGGGUUUUACCGGAGCUGCCCCAAUCCCAGUUGCUCUUAUGAUCUAUGUCUCAUGUGUUGUCAAGAGCUUAGGGAGGGUUGCCAACCUGGAGGCAUAGAAGCUGAAACAUCCCAGGAACAAUUUUCUGAGAGAGCUCGUAAUCAUGAUUCAUCAAUAACUAAGAGUAAAAAACAAAGUAAAAGAUAUGGAUGGGAGAGCCAGCUUGUGCCUACAAAUUUUGAUUUUCAAGCUGACAUGUCCACCCCCUUCCCUGAAUGGAAUGCUAAUACAGAUGGUAACAUUCCAUGUCCACCAAAACAGCGUGGAGGAUGUGGUACCACAUUGCUAGAAUUGAGACGUACUUUCAAAUGUAACUGGGUAGUGAAAUUGCUAAAUAAUGCUGAGGACCUCACCAGAGACUACACACCGCCUAAUGUUGAUAUUACUGAAAAGUGCUCUUUAUGUCAGAUAAAUACUAUUGAAGGAAAAACCAAUCUUGAAGCACGUAGGGCAGCAUUCAGAGAUGAUGAUAAUGAUAAUUUCAUAUAUAGCUCAAAUGCCCGUGAUAUUUCUGAUGAUGAAAUUGAGCAUUUCCAGAGGCACUGGAUGAGGGGAGAACCUGUUGUUGUGAGAAACAUUCUAGAUAAGACAUCGGGUCUUAGCUGGGAGCCAAUGGUUAUGUGGAGGGCUUUAAGAGAAACAGGCUCCAAAGUGAAGUUUAAAGACGAAACUCGAAGUGUAAAAGCUAUUGAUUGCUUCGAUUGGUGUGGGGUUGAGAUCAAUAUUCACCAAUUUUUCCAAGGCUACCUAGAAGGUCGAAUGUAUAACAAUGGGUGGCCAGAAAUGCUGAAAUUGAAAGAUUGGCCCACAUCCACCACUUUUGAAGAGCGCUUGCCUAGGCAUGGCACAGAGUUCCUCAUGGCACUCCCCUACAGGGAUUACACUGAUCCAAAAUCUGGGACUUUGAAUUUUGCCUCUAAACUUCCUGAUGACUCACUAAAGCCGGAUUUAGGACCUAAAACAUAUAUUGCUUAUGGAUUUUCUGAUGAGCUUGGUAGAGGAGAUUCUGUGACAAAGCUGCACUGUGAUGUGUCAGAUGCAGUCAAUGUGUUGAUGCAUACAACCAAAGUGGAGAUAGCUCCUUGGCGGAGAAAAAUAAUAAAAGAAUUGCAGAAAAAAUAUGCCGAAGAAGACUCUCGUGAACUUUUAUGUGAAGCUUUAGGAGAUGCUGAUGAAAGACCUAAAUCUGAAGCAUUGAGCCAUGAUCAGAAGGCAGACAUUGGAAUUGGUAAUAUUUCACCAACUAGCCACGUGGAUCAGUGCAUUCCAUCUAUAUGUGAAGAAGGCAAGAGUCAGAAGUUAGAAACACAUGAUCUAUCUGCAAGUAGCUUAGCUAGUAAUAUGAGCAAUAAGGAAGACAGAAUGAGGAUUGAUUUUAUAGAUGAUAAGGAGCCUGAUGGUCCUGAGCUGAGAGAGUCAAAACAAGGCCUGGAGAAAGAUACUUUGCAAACUGAAGAUGGAGCUGAGGUUGCCCUCGGUGGUGCUGUUUGGGACAUCUUCCGCCGGCAAGAUGUCCCUAAGCUAAUUGAGUACUUAAGAAAGCACAAGAAUGAAUUCCGUCAUAUAAAAAAUCAUCCUGUAGAUUCUGUUAUACAUCCUAUUCAUGAUCAAACUCUGUUUUUAAAUGAGAGGCAUAAGAAACAGCUGAAAAAGGAGUUCAAUGUUGAACCAUGGACCUUUGAGCAACACCUUGGGGAGGCUGUCUUCAUUCCAGCAGGAUGUCCUCAUCAAGUGAGAAACAGACAAUGCCUAUUAAUUGGUGCUUUCAUUGAGAGGAAAUGGAGCCAUGGCCCACGGAAUCCGUUUGACCCGACUGGAGGAACUCACCUUGUCCAACACACAGGAGGUAACCACUCUUAACCGCAGGUUGGUGGAGGCAAAUGAGAGGAUCACCGACACGCAAAUUCAACUUACAAACAUGGACUCCUAACUGCGAUCUAUUGAGAAGUUUCUACGUGAAAACUUUAAGCUGAAAAUGAAGGCCGCUGAUUAUGGCCCCGUUGGUGACGAUGCCACAGAUGGCUGUUCCGGUGUGGGAUCAGUAAGCAUGGGCACUAAACAGCCGUGGCCUCGGCUAAGGGUGAAAGUCGCUGAUCUCCCCAUGUUUGACGGCGAAAGAGUGGAAGAUUGGGUCUUCCACGCCAUCAGCACUUGGAGACGUUCGAGAUACCCGUGGAGCAGAGACUUUGGGUGUUAUCGUUUCAUUUGGUGGGAGCGGCGUAUGCAUGGUAUCGAUGGGGGCAUUAACAACAGCAUCACCUACACCUACACCCGGGACACAUUUCUGGAAGCGCUAGUAGUCAGAUUUGGGAAGAGUCUCUUCUAUGACCCUUGCACCGCCAAAGAAUUGAAGCAGAGUGGAUCGAUGGAGAAGUACGAGAGCGAAUUUGAAGAGUUGACCAACAAGGUCAAUGGGCUGAAUUAGGAGUGGAUCAUCUCCCUCUUUGUUGCUGGGCUUCAGGACCUGCUCAAAUGUGAAUUGCUCCUAGCCCAACCCACAUCUUAUGUCCAAGACGUUUCCAUCGCUAAACUCCAUGAGCAGAAGAACGCGACAAUGCUGGGCUUAUCUCGGGUCGGUAGCAAUAAGGCCACAGUAGCCCAGAACCCCCAAGAGUUCUCACCCAAUGACUACCCCUUCCACGAGUUCCAUAGCCUCCGCUAACACACCCUCUUCUUUCCCAACACCAUAAACAACCCCACAGCAUUUAAGAAACUGACCAGCACUGAUAUUUGAGCACGAAGGGAGAAAGGCUAGUGUUAUUAUUGCGAUGAACGUUACAGUCAGGGGUAUCGCUGCAAUGCUUCUUAUCAGCUCCUCGUAGGUGAAGAGGAACUCCAGGAGCUCUUACAUGGCACUGCCGGAACACUUGAAGAGGAGAAUGACUCCGAUUUGGAAGAUGAGGGACACAGAGGAGGAACAACCUCCACGAAUCAGUCUCAACGCCCUUGCCGGGGAGUUCCACCUUGAGACUCUGCACGUGAAAGGGACACAUGCCAACCGACCCCUACUAAUUUUGAUUAACGGCGGUAGCACCCACAACUUCAUUAAAGGGUCAAUUCACUCAAUUGCCAGGAAGCUCAAUUUGUCUCUUAGGUAGCGUUUGUUUUGAGCCUUAUGUACUGGAUCUCAAAGGCGCAAAUGUGGUCCUGGGAGUACGCAAAUGGGUUCCCUGCCACUAUUGUUUCCGGCCGAUGGUCAGACGGAGGUUGCAAACCGAAUGCUGGAACAAUACCUGCGUCUGUUCACCCAUUCCCACCCUGCAAAAUGGUCAUUUUAUCUCAGUUGGGCUGAGUUUUGUUAUAAUAACUCGUUCCACACCACAAUUGAGAUGUCUCCACAUGAAGCAUUAUAUGGGUUUCUAGCCCGAACCAUUCCAGGGUAUGUGUAUCGCUCAUCUUCGGUUCAGGAAGUAGAUGAUUUGCUGCGAGUGCAGGAGUCUCUUUAUAUGGAACUGAAGUUUCGCCUCCAACAAGCAUAGAACCGAAUGAAACGAUUGGCUAAAUAGUCAUCGUCGAGAGAAAUUGUUCAAUGUCGAUGAUUGGGUUCUGUUGAAGCUGCAACCAUAUAGGCAAAGCUGAGUGGUGGUUCAUGGUAACUUAAAGCUUGCUAAGCAGUUUUAUGGGCUGUUUAAGGUGCUGCAGGGGGUAGGGGCUGCCGCGUACAAGUUGGAACUUCCAACUGGCAGUGCUAUACAUAUGGAUGAAAGACUAUGAGAAUCUUGUAUAAAGGUUGCUCUUGAUUUCGUUUCUCCGGAAAAUGUUGGAGAAUGUUUACGAUUAACUGAAGAGUUUCGUUUGCUCCCAAAACACCACAGAGCCAAGGAAGACAAAUUGGAGG